UAAAACGCAGUGACUGGGAGUUUUAAGGAAUGUUUAUUGUUUAGAGAGCUGUCGGUUGGUGAAAGACAGUCAAUAAAGUCUCCAACUCAAUUACGAGUGGUGAGACUGAUAUGUGGUCUUAACGGUUGACAUCCGUAAUCAGUUAUAAAGUGGAUUUGUUUAAUAAGCAAAUCAAAAAGAGUGGUACCACGAAGAUAAAUCCUAUCGUCCCUUAU
rnacentral:ncRNA from 1 species